UAAUUCUAGAGCUAAUACAUGCUGGUGAGCCCGACUCUUUGGAAGGGCGGCAUUUAUUAGAUAACAAACCAAUAUUGCUUUGCUCUAUUGUGGUGACUCAUAAUAACUGAUCGAAUCGCAAAGCCUUUGGCUGCGAUACAUCAUUCAAGUUUCUGCCCCAUCAGCUUCCGUUGGUAGUGUAUUGGACUACCAUGGCGUUCACGGGUAACGGAGGAUUAGGGUUCGAUUCCGGAGAGGGAGCCUGAGAAACGGCUACCACAUCUAAGGAAGGCAGCAGGCGCGUAAAUUACCCAAUCCUGACUCAGGGAGGUAGUGACAAGAAAUAACGGACCGUGUCCUUCGGGACUCGGGACU
rnacentral:rRNA from 1 species